rnacentral:lncRNA from 1 species
GGAAUGGUGAAAAAGAAUUUUUUAUGGAGUUUGAAGGGGAUAGUGUGCACAAAUAACAGGGAAGUAAAGGAAGCAAAAAGGUGGUGGCCAGUGAAAGCUUUACUGGAGUACUUACAGAGACUAAAGGAAGGCUUAGAGGAGGACCUUUGUAGUAAAGGGAACUUGAUUUGAACUAAGAGGAAACUCCCAUGGGCACCCCUGCCUUUAAUACCAGCACUGGAGAGGCAGAGGCAGGCAGGCCUCUGAGUUCAAGACUAGCCUAGUCUACACAUUGAGUUCCAGACCAAGCAAGAGCUGCAUAGUGAGAUCCUAUUGGGGAAAAAAAGUCUUUAUGGGUUCCAUAGUGGCUAAAGCAAGGAGUAGGAAAUAAAGAAAUAGAAGGAACCUGGCCAGUAUUUGCUGAGUGAGAUGGAGAAUGUUAGUUUCAUCAUCAACUUGUGUUUUGAAUCACUCGGUGGUGGUGGUGGUACAUGCCUUUUAAUCCCAGCACUAGGAAGGCAGACAGACCUCAAGUUUGAGGCUAGCCUGGUCUACAAAUAAAGUUCCAGGACAGACUCCAAAGCUACACAGAGAAACCCUGUCUGGAAAAAAAAGAGACCAGGGAGCCAAAAACAGUGACAAGCAGUAAAGACAGGAUGAGAAACCUCUUACAUAGAGCCCAGCAAUGUGUUUUAACAUGCUCUGUGGAUAACUCUGAUGGAUACCAAAGAGUGAGAAUCAUGGCCAGCAACACUGAGGAGAGGCAGCAGGAUCAGCCUGAAGUGAGAGUGCUGUGAGGAAUGUAAAGUGGAGGGCAUUGACAAUCACCACACAGGUGGAAGAUGUCUGCAAAUUCUAGUGGCUGCUACAGGAAAGGAGCAAACAUUGCAAGUGUCCUUGGAAACCAGAAGAAGAUGUUGGAUCCCCUGGAAAUGGAGUUACAGACAGUUGGAAGCCGCCA